GUCGAGAAUCUUUCACAAUGGGGGCAACCCUGAUGGAGCGACGCCGCGUGGAGGAUAAGGUCUUCGGAUUGUAAACUCCUGUCAUGCGUGAACAAGGUUGCUUGGAUAAUACCUGAGCAAAUUGAUGGUAGCGCAAGAGGAAGAGACGGCUAACUCUGUGCCAGCAGCCGCGGUAAUACAGAGGUCUCAAGCGUUGUUCGGAAUCACUGGGCGUAAAGGGUGCGUAGGUGGCGUGGCAAGUCAGAUGUGAAAGCCCGGGGCUCAACCUCGGAACUGCAUCCGAUACUGCCAUGCUAGAGUACUGGAGAGGUGACUAGAAUUCUCGGUGUAGCAGUGAAAUGCGUAGAUAUCGAGAGGAAUACCAAAGGCGUAGGCAGGUCACUGGACAGUUACUGACACUGAGGCACGAAGGCCAGGGGAGCGAACGGGAUUAGAUACCCCGGUAGUCC
rnacentral:rRNA from 1 species